rnacentral:lncRNA from 1 species
CCUUCCUACAACAUCAACAUAACUUAAAUCUUAUCUGCUGUCAGAGACAUUGCUCAAAUUUUUUUUACCCUCAAGUCUUUCCUGACUUUGCACGGUUGGAGUGGAUCUUCCUUUUUCUCUCUACUCCCGCUAUACCUCACUGACAUCACUCUUUUUGGCGUUUAAUUUUACUUUGUGAACUGUUUAUUUUGCCGCUCUAAUAUUAGAUUGUAAGCUCCUAGAAGAGAGAAGAAGCAAGUAGCGAAAAGGCAAAAGGAAUAAAGCUUUCAUAUUGGAGAUGAAGAUCUUGAUCCGUGAUCUUGGGAGAGCUGUCCACUACAAGGUGCCAUCCUGUUUUGAGGAAAAGCACAUAUGUAAUUAUCUGAAUUGGAAGCAGAAUUGGCAGCUUUCUUCAUGGAACACCAUUUUUACUUGAAAGAAUAACUGAAAAACAGACAAACUAUGAUUAGUCAAACUUGCAUCUUCAGUGGACAUUUUCUCAAAAAUGAAUGAAGUGAGCCUGUCAUUCCAAAGAAAACAACUGAAAGUAUUUGUUGCCAAUAUAAAAUUUGAGCUUUCAAUCAAAAAGUAGAAGUUUGGAUGACUUUUAUCUACCACAAUGAACUUGACAUCUUCCUAAUACUUAAAGAUUUUUUUCUGAUGAGAUUUGUGAUUAUGGUAACUGAUGUGAUUUUUUAAUAUUGUAUAAUGAGAUAUGUCAACAUUUGGAAAAUCUACAUAACUCAGAGAACUAAUAUUCUCCAAAUGAUCAAUGCAUGAUGUUUAAAAUCAUUCAUGAGUUAGAGAUCCAUUCAGAGUUCAAGAUAAAUGAAUGGACUCUAAUGUAACAAUAUGAAUGUUUCUUUAUAUGGUUUCAGAUUCCAGAUUGUAACUAACGUUUAAGAAACUAUUAAUUGUCAAGUUUUGGCAUAGUUUCAAAAAAGAACAUCCAUGAUGAUCUGAAAGGCUAUUAAAAAUACUUCUUUUU